rnacentral:hammerhead_ribozyme from 1 species
AUUCAGAUGACGAGUCCCAAGUAGGAUGAAAUACGCGUCCUGGAU